UACGUAGGGUGCAAGCGUUGUCCGGAAUUAUUGGGCGUAAAGAGCUCGUAGGCGGUUCGUCGCGUCGGCUGUGAAAUCCCGAGGCUCAACCUCGGGUCUGCAGUCGAUACGGGCGGACUGGAGUUCGGCAGGGGAGACUGGAAUUCCUGGUGUAGCGGUGAAAUGCGCAGAUAUCAGGAGGAACACCGGUGGCGAAGGCGGGUCUCUGGAACGGUACUGACGCUGAGGCGCGAAAGCGUGGGGAGCGAACAGG
rnacentral:rRNA from 1 species